AGGCAGCAGUAGGGAAUAUUGGACAAUGGAGGCAACUAUGACCCAGCCAUGCCGCGUGCAGGAUGAAGGCGUUAUGCGUUGUAAACUGCUUUUAUAUAGGAAGAAAUAUACCUUGCGAGGUAGGUUGACGGUACUAUAUGAAUAAGCACCGGCUAACUCCGUGCCAGCAGCCGCGGUAAUACGGAGGGUGCAAGCGUUGUCCGGAUUUAUUGGGUUUAAAGGGUGCGUAGGCGGUUUAUUAAGUCAGUGGUGAAAGACGGUCGCUCAACGAUUGCAGUGCCAUUGAUACUGGUAGGCUUGAGUGAGAUUGAGGUAGCUGGAAUGGAUAGUGUAGCGGUGAAAUGCAUAGAUAUUAUCCAGAACACCAAUUGCGUAGGCAAGUUACUAAGUCUCAACUGACGCUGAGGCACGAAAGUGUGGGUAUCAAACAGGAUUAGAUACCCUGGUAGUCCACUCUGUAAACGAUGAUAACUAACUGUUGGCUUUCGGGUCAGUGGACAGCGAAAUCGUAAGUA
rnacentral:rRNA from 1 species